UCGGGAGUCUUGCACAAUGGGGGAAACCCUGAUGCAGCGACGCCGCGUGCGGGAUGAAGUCCUUCGGGACGUAAACCGCUUUUGUCCGGGAAGAAGACAGUGACGGUACCGGACGAAUAAGCCCCGGCUAACUACGUGCCAGCAGCCGCGGUAAAACGUAGGGGGCGAGCGUUGCCCGGAUUUACUGGGCGUAAAGCGCGCGUAGGCGGCUGCGUAAGUGGGGAGUUAAAGCCC
rnacentral:rRNA from 1 species